rnacentral:rRNA from 1 species
GACGAACGCUGGCGGCGUGCUUAACACAUGCAAGUCGAACGGAAAGGCCCUGCUUUUGUGGGGUGCUCGAGUGGCGAAAGGGUGAGUAACACGUGAGUAACCUGCCCUUGACUUUGGGAUAACUUCAGGAAACUGGGGCUAAUACCGGAUAGGAGCUCCUGCUGCAUGGUGGGGGUUGGAAAGUUUCGGCGGUUGGGGAUGGACUCGCGGCUUAUCAGCUUGUUGGUGGGGUAGUGGCUUACCAAGGCUUUGACGGGUAGCCGGCCUGAGAGGGUGACCGGCCACAUUGGGACUGAGAGACGGCCCAGACUCCUACGGGACGCAGCAGUGGGGAAUAUUGCACAAUGGGCGGAAGCCUGAUGCAGCAACGCCGCGUGCGGGAUGACGGCCUUCGGGUUAUAAACCGCUUUCGCCUGUGACGAAGCGUGAGUGACGGUAAUGGGUAAAGAAGCACCGGCUAACUACGUG